CGUGCCUAAUACAUGCAAGUCGAGCGGGAUGAAGAAGAAGCUUGCUUCUUCUGAUUUUAGCGGCGGACGGGUGAGUAACACGUGGGCAACCUACCUUGUAGAUUGGGAUAACUCCGGGAAAACCGGGGCUAAUACCGAAUAAUCCAUUUUGCUUCAUGGCGAGAUGUUAAAAGGCGGCUUCGGCUGUCACUACGAGAUGGGCCCGCGGCGCAUUAGCUAGUUGGUAGGGUAAUGGCCUACCAAGGCGACGAUGCGUAGCCGACCUGAGAGGGUGAUCGGCCACACUGGGACUGAGACACGGCCCAGACUCCUACGGGAGGCAGCAGUAGGGAAUCUUCCACAAUGGACGAAAGUCUGAUGGAGCAACGCCGCGUGAGUGAAGAAGGUUUUCGGAUCGUAAAACUCUGUUGUAAGGGAAGAACACGUACGAGAGUAACUGCUCGUACCUUGACGGUACCUUAUUAGAAAGCCACGGCUAACUACGUG
rnacentral:rRNA from 1 species